AUCCCCUCUUCAGCAGCAUGUAUUAUAAAGUUGGGAUGAUACUGAAAAGAUUAGCACGGCCCUUACAUGAAACACGCAAGUUUGUGAAGUAUUCUGUAUUUUU